UGGUAACACAGGAAAAUUUCUUGUCGCUUUCCGGGGCCAUGUAGGCCCUGUCUAUCAGAUAAGCUGGUCUGCUGACAGUAGAUUGCUUUUAAGUGGGAGCAAAGACUCGACACUGAAGGUUUGGGAUAUCCGGACGCAGAAGUUGAAACAAGAUCUUCCAGGUCAUGCAGAUGAGGUA